rnacentral:rRNA from 1 species
GACGAACGCUGGCGGCGUGCCUAACACAUGCAAGUCGAGCGGAGAUCAAGGAGAGCUUGCUCAAAUUGAUUUUAGCGGCGGACGGGUGAGUAACGCGUGAGCAAUCUGUCCUACACAGGGGGAUAACAGCUGGAAACAGCUGCUAAUACCGCAUAAGACCACAGUACCGCAUGGCACAAGGGUCAAAGAUUUAUCGGUGUAGGGUGAGCUCGCGUCCCAUUAGAUAGUUGGCGGGGUAACGGCCCACCUAGUCUACGAUGUCUAGGGGUUCUGAGAGGAAGGUCCCCCACACUGGAACUGAGACACGGUCCAAAACUCCUACGGGAGGCAGCAGUGAGGAAUAUUGGUCAAUGGACGGAAGUCUGAACCAGCCAAGUCGCGUGAAGGAUGAAGGUUCUAUGGAUUGUAAACCUCUUUAGUCGGGGAGCAAAAAGGAUCACGCGUGGUCCAUUGAGCGUACCCGAAGAAUAAGCAUCGGCUAACUCCGUGCCAG